rnacentral:rRNA from 1 species
GAUGAACGCUGGCGGCGUGCCUAAUACAUGCAAGUCGAGCGAAUGGAUUGAGAGCUUGCUCUUAUGAAGUUAGCGGCGGACGGGUGAGUAACACGUGGGUAACCUGCCCAUAAGACUGGGAUAACUCCGGGAAACCGGGGCUAAUACCGGAUAACAUUUUGAACCGCAUGGUUCGAAAUUGAAAGGCGGCUUCGGCUGUCACUUAUGGAUGGACCCGCGUCGCAUUAGCUAGUUGGUGAGGUAACGGCUCACCAAGGCAACGAUGCGUAGCCGACCGGAGGGGGUGAUCGGCCACACGGGGACUGAGAAACGGCCCAGACUCCUACGGGAGGCAGCAGUAGGGAAUCUUCCGCAAUGGACGAAAGUCUGACGGAGCAACGCCGCGUGAGUGAGGAAGGCUUUCGGGUCGUAAAACUCUGUUGUUAGGGAAGAACAAGUGCUAGUUGAAUAAGCUGGCACCUUGACGGUACCUAACCAGAAAGCCACGGCUAACUACGUGCCAGCAGCCGCCGUAA